ACGGGUGAGGAAUACAUCGGAAUCUGCCUUGUUGUGGGGGAUAACGUAGGGAAACUUACGCUAAUACCGCAUAAGACCGAAAGGUGAAAGUGGGGGACCGCAAGGCCUCACGCGACAAGAUGAGCCGAUGUCGGAUUAGCUAGUUGGUGAGGUAAUGGCUCACCAAGGCGACGAUCCGUAGCUGGUCUGAGAGGAUGAUCAGCCACACUGGAACUGAGACACGGUCCAGACUCCUACGGGAGGCAGCAGUGGGGAAUAUUGGACAAUGGGCGCAAGCCUGAUCCAGCCAUGCCGCGUGGGUGAAGAAGGCCUUCGGGUUGUAAAGCCCUUUUGUUGGGGAAGAAAUCGUACGGGGUAAUAUCCCGUGCGGAUGACGGUACCCAAAGAAUAAGCACCGGCUAACUUCGUGCCAGCAGCCGCGGUAAUACGAAGGGUGCAAGCGUUACUCGGAAUUACUGGGCGUAAAGCAUGCGUAGGCGGUUCGUUAAGUCUGUCGUGAAAGCCCUGGGCUCAACCUGGGAAUUGCGAUGGAUACUGGCGAGCUAGAGUACGGUAGAGGAUGGUGGAAUUCCCGGUGUAGCGGU
rnacentral:rRNA from 1 species